rnacentral:rRNA from 1 species
AUGUGGACCAAGAAGGUGGCGACGCAGGUGGUUUUGGUCCUGCUUCUCCUCCUCAUCGCACAGGAGGCGGCGGUGCCGGGGGCGGAGGCGAAGAUCUGCCGGCAGCGCAGCGCGGGGUUCAAGGGGCCAUGCGUGUCGGACAAGAACUGCGCGCAGGUCUGCCUGCAGGAACGCUGGGGCGGCGGCAACUGCGACGGGCCCCUCCGCCGGUGCAAGUGCAUCAGGCAGUGCUGA